GAUGAACGCUGGCGGCGUGCCUAAUACAUGCAAGUCGAGCGAACAGAUAAGGAGCUUGCUCCUUUGACGUUAGCGGCGGACGGGUGAGUAACACGUGGGUAACCUACCUAUAAGACUGGGAUAACUUCGGGAAACCGGAGCUAAUACCGGAUAACAUUUGGAACCGCAUGGUUCUAAAGUGAAAGAUGGUUUUGCUAUCACUUAUAGAUGGACCCGCGCCGUAUUAGCUAGUUGGUAAGGUAACGGCUUACCAAGGCAACGAUACGUAGCCGACCUGAGAGGGGGACCGGCCCCACGGGAACGGAGCACCGGUCCAAACCCCUCGGGGAGGCAGAAGUGGGGAACUUUCCGCAAGGGGCGAAAGCCUGAGGGAGCAACGCCGGGGGAGGGAUGAAGGGUUUGGGCUCGUAAAACUCUGUUAUUAGGGAAAAAAAAACGUUUAAGUAACUGUGCAGGUUUUGACGGUACCAAAUCAAAAAGCCCCGGCUAACUACGU
rnacentral:rRNA from 1 species